GUAACAAAAGCAGCCAUCGUCGUGAACGGUCACGGUACCGCGUGCAUGUUGGUAAUCCGUCGCUGAGAGAAAGCAUUCGAAAUUGACCAUUGUCCCGAGUGGCAUUAACAUUCGCUUUCGAAGCACGGUGAAGUGCCGUUAAUCAACAUCGCGAGCUACACCGCAGUGACCGGUUCAGUGACCGACGCAUUCGUGAGCCACGAUUACCCCGAAACCAACCGUUACUAGGCCGCGCAUAAACGGCUCGCACGAAAAAUCUGCGGAAAAUUGUUCCGAAGGAAUAGGAGUGUCCUCGAAAUAACAAACCCCGAUGAACGAAUUCGCAUAAUCAAAUAAGGGGUGAUCAAAUCUUGACCGAAGUACGGUGGAGUGCCGCUCGUCCACGUUGCAAACCGUAUCGCAGUGUCCAGCUUAGUGACCCACAAGUUUAUUAGUCACCAGUUGUUCGAACGCCAACCGUCACGGGGACGCGCAGAGACAGUUCCCACGAAAGAUCCGCGAAAAGGCUGUUCCGAACUAAUAAAGGGCGUUCUUCGGAAUAAAAACAAACCCCGCAGAAGGGGUUUUGUUUUGCACCUACAGAUCCGUCGACACGGUGGUGUCUGAGGCCAACGAACUGAGCCAACUGAGCGAAUCGAACGGGUACGGAACGGACCGGCUGGAGAGAGCCUCUACCACGCGUGGCGGUGAUUGGGAGUGGCACAAGCUGCGGCUCUGACUAGGGGCGACCGACGACCGGUAGCAAUUGGGGCAAGCAGCUGCCCAAAGGCAACCGAAUGACAAGGCGCACGGCACGACGCGUCACCAGAGCAACGCCGCUUAUCUGUGGUCUGUGUUAACAACGGUCGGUGUGUCCUUAGUAU